GACGAACCGUCCAAACGUUAUUCGGAAUCACUGGGCUUACAGAGUUCGUAGGCGGUCUGGAAAGUUGGGUGUGAAAUCCCUCGGCUCAACCGAGGAACUGCGCUUGAAACUACCAGACUCGAGGGAGAUAGAGGAAAGCGGAACUGAUGGUGGAGCGGUGAAAUGCGUUGAUAUCAUCAGGAACACCGGUGGCGAAGGCGGCUUUCUGGGUCUCACCUGACGCUGAGGAACGAAAGCCAGGGGAGCGAACGGG
rnacentral:rRNA from 1 species